rnacentral:rRNA from 1 species
AUUGAACGCUGGCGGCAGGCCUAACACAUGCAAGUCGAACGAGUGGCGGACGGGUGAGUAAUGUCUGGGAAACUGCCUGAUGGAGGGGGAUAACUACUGGAAACGGUAGCUAAUACCGCAUACCAUCGGAUGUGCCCAGAUGGGAUUAGCUAGUAGGUGGGGUAAUGGCUCACCUAGGCGACGAUCCCUAGCUGGCAUGAGAGGAUGACCAGACACACUGGAACGUAGACGCUGUCCAGACUCCUCCGGUAGGCAGCAGUGGGGAAUAUUUCACAAGGGGCGCAAGCCUGAUGCAGCCAUGAGGCGUGUGUUAAGAAGACCUUCGGGUUGUAAAGCACUUUCAGCGAGGAGGCGUUACUCGCAGAAGAAGCACCGGCUAACUCCGUGCCAGCAGCCGCGGUAAUUC